rnacentral:rRNA from 1 species
AUCCCCUACGGGACGCAGCAGUGAGGAAUAUUGGUCAAUGGGCGGAAGCCUGAACCAGCCAGGUCGCGUGAGGGAAUAAGGCCCUACGGGUCGUAAACCUCUUUUGCCGGGGAGCAAGGGCGGGGACGUGUCCCGGCCCGGAGAGUACCCGGAGAAAAAGCAUCGGCUAACUCCGUGCUAGCAGCCGCGGGAAUACGGAGGAUGCGAGCGUUAUCCGGAUUUAUUGGGGUUAAAGGGUGCGGAGGCGGGCUUUUAAGUCAGCGGUAAAAAUUCGGGGCUCAACCCCGUCCGGCCGUUGAAACUGG